ACAAAACCAAUUUUACCCCAUUAAUAACCCCUAAUUCACUUAAACCCAUAAACAAACCAUUUUUCCUCCUUAGUACGGGCGACGGAAAAGGAACCUGAAGCAAUAGAGAAAGUACCGCAAGGGAAAGCUGAA
rnacentral:rRNA from 1 species